rnacentral:rRNA from 1 species
AGAGUUUGAUCCUGGCUCAGGACGAACGCUGGCGGCGUGCCUAAUACAUGCAAGUCGAGCGGACCUUUCGGGGUCAGCGGCGGACGGGUGAGUAACACGUGGGCAAUCUGCCCGAUACUCUGGGAUAACGCUUGGAAACGAGUGCUAAUACCGGAUGGCCUUCUUGGCCGCAUGGCCGAGAAGGAAAAGACGCGUUCGCGUCGGUGUCGGAUGAGCCCGCGGCGCAUUAGCUAGUUGGUGAGGUAACGGCCCACCAAGGCGACGAUGCGUAGCCGACCUGAGAGGGUGACCGGCCACACUGGGACUGAGACACGGCCCAGACUCCUACGGGAGGCAGCAGUAGGGAAUCUUCCACAAUGGGCGAAAGCCUGAUGGAGCAACGCCGCGUGAGUGAUGAAGGCCUUCGGGUUGUAAAACUCUGUCAUUCGGGACGAACCGGAGUCUGAGGAAAUGCAGACUCUCUGACGGUACCGGAGGAGGAAGCCCCGGCUAACUACGUGCCAGCAGCCGCGGUAAUACGUAGGGGGCAAGCGUUGUCCGGAUUCACUGGGCGUAAAGCGCGCGCAGGCGGUGAUGUAAGUCUGAGGUGAAAACCCGAAGCUCAACUUCGGGACUGCCUUGGAUACUGCGUCACUUGAGGAUAGGAGAGGCAAGGGGAAUUCCACGUGUAGCGGUAAAAUGCGUAGAGAUGUGGAGGAACACCUGUGGCGAAAGGCGCCUUGCUGGCCUAUUUCUGACGCUGAGGCGCGAAAGCGUGGGGAGCAAACAGGAUUAGAUACCCUGGUAGUCCACGCUGUAAACGAUGAGUGCUAGGUGUAGGUGGGCUCAUACCCAUCUGUGCCGAAGCUAACGCAUUAAGCACUCCGCCUGGGGAGUACGGUCGCAAGACUGAAACUCAAAGGAAUUGACGGGGGCCCGCACAAGCAGUGGAGCAUGUGGUUUAAUUCGAAGCAACGCGAAGAACCUUACCAGGACUUGACAUCCCAUAGACCAGUCUAGAGAUAGACUUUCCCUUCGGGGCUGUGGUGACAGGUGGUGCAUGGUUGUCGUCAGCUCGUGUCGUGAGAUGUUGGGUUAAGUCCCGCAACGAGCGCAACCCUUACUUUGUGUUGCCAGCAUUCAGUUGGGCACUCACAAGGGACUGCCGCCGAUAAGGCGGAGGAAGGUGGGGAUGACGUCAAAUCAUCAUGCCCCUUAUGUCCUGGGCUACACACGUGCUACAAUGGGCGGUACAACGGGAUGCGAAGCCGCGAGGUGGAGCCAAACCCUGAAAACCGUUCGUAGUUCGGAUUGUAGGCUGCAACUCGCCUACAUGAAGCCGGAAUUGCUAGUAAUCGCGGAUCAGCAUGCCGCGGUGAAUCCGUUCCCGGGCCUUGCACACACCGCCCGU